GGAGACGUCGCAUAGUCCGGUCGAGUGCGCUUCACUGCUAAUGAGGUAUGGGUUAAAAGCCCAUCGAGGGUUCAAAUCCCUCCGUCUCCGCCA
rnacentral:tRNA from 1 species